rnacentral:rRNA from 1 species
CGGGAUUAGUGGCAGACGGGUGAGUAACGCGUGGGAAGCUACCUUGUGGUAGGGAACAACAGUUGGAAACGACUGCUAAUACCCUAUGAGCCCUAUGGGGGAAAGAUUUAUCGCCAUGAGAUGUGCCCGCGUUAGAUUAGCUAGUUGGUAAGGUAAUGGCUUACCAAGGCGACGAUCUAUAGCUGGUCUGAGAGGAUGAUCAGCCACACUGGGACUGAGACACGGCCCAGACUCCUACGGGAGGCAGCAGUGGGGAAUAUUGGACAAUGGGGGCAACCCUGAUCCAGCCAUGCCGCGUGAGUGAUGACGGCCUUAGGGUUGUAAAGCUCUUUCAGCAGUGAAGAUAAUGACAUUAACUGCAGAAGAAGCCCCGGCUAACUUCGUGCCAGCAGCCGCGGUAAUACGAAGGGGGCUAGCGUUGUUCGGAAUCACUGGGCGUAAAGCGUACGUAGGCGGACUGAUCAGUCAGGGGUGAAAUCCCGGGGCUCAACCCCGGAACUGCCUUUGAUACUGUCAGUCUUGAGAUCGAGAGAGGUGAGUGGAACUCCGAGUGUAGAGGUGAAAUUCGUAGAUAUUCGGAAGAACACCAGUGGCGAAGGCGGUCUCACUGGACUCGAUACUG